CAAAGGCAAGACAAAGCAAGGCAAGGCAAGGGACAUUUGAUCUGCUUACAGAUGUUUGUAUUCUUUAAAUCCAGCUCUAGAGAGUGAGAAGGGAAAGGAGGUUUAGGUCAGAGAGAUAUAAAUCCAAGUGAGAAGAGGAAGGAAGUUUUAAUGAGGAGAGAUAAGAGCAAGGAGGCAAACCUCAUCUGCCAUAAAGGGAACCAUGGCCCACAAAGGGACAGAGGAGAGGUAUUCUGAAGCUGAUUUACUAGAGGUUAGCCCUAAAAACUGGGGACUAAGCUGACAAUUUCCUAAACUAAGUCAAUUAUGCAUCUAGGAAGGAUUUUGUUACCUGUACCUGUCUUUAAAUGCUUUUCUUUUGCACCUCAAAUUUCUGUUAAUCCAGACAAGAGACAAUAAAGUGCAGGUGUCAGUGCAUCAAACUGCAAUCCCAAGGAAGAUUAAGGGCUCUCUGGCACUGUGAUGGGCUGUAUUCAUUAACUCACAUUAUCAGUGUCCCUUGGAGUUGCUACACAUGACCAUGAGUGUGCUUGUAGCUACAAUAAUGAUGUUUUAUUCCUGACCUAAGAUUCCCCAGAUUCGUCCCUCUGAGAUAGCCAGUCCCUGCUGGUGACUGGGAGAGAGAGAGUGAAAAUGCUGGGACCUGAGAUUCUUCCUGAUCUACCUAAACAGUAAAUCCCAGCUUCCCAGAGGAACUUACUGCUGGUUUCCUCAAGUGCUGAGGAUGGUGAAAUCAUCAUGGCAAGGUGCUGAUCUCUGUUCUUCAGUCCUGAAAGUCCUUGGAAAACAGAAGGAAUACAGCCAUGAUCCCAACUGGGUGUAACCACUAUGGUAUAAUGUGUCUGUGCAUCUCACAAGCAGCAAGAGGGAAGCAACAUAGCCGUCCAGCAUGUUUCGUGGCACACAAAGUGGCAUGAGAGCAGCAGGCCUUGUCUACUAAAAACUCACUCAGGUUGUGUGUGAUGCAUAAUGACAUGGAGCAGACAUAUCUGCAAGAAGCGCUUGGUAUAGAAGGGCACAGAUGUGGAUGAGCUCUAUCCAGCUGGCAAGAGAUGUUGAAGAGGUGCAGAUGAGGGCUACAAGACUCCCAGGCAUACUCCUGUAUGGCAUACUGGAUACUGGGAUACUCCUGUACCAGCAUCACCUGAAGAAAAUCAGAGUUGGCACACCAGACAUGACUCCCAGUAAUGCCAUUUUCUCUUUCUGUUAUCUCACUUUCUGAGACUAUAACACAAAGAUGACAUUCUUCACUGCUAAGGAAAGCCAGACUCCCUGAGCUGCUGGAGUUGAAGGGGACUUCUGGGUCAUCUUGUCCAAAGUCCUGGACUGGAUCCCAACUUCUCAAUUCUUUAAUCCAACAACCAGGAAAGAGAAAGAAAAAAAAAAAAACAACCCCACUUUACUGGGUUGAUAUAUCUGUUUGUUACAUAUUAUUUAAAAUUAUGAAAGAGGAGAUAUUUAUCCAUUUAUCCAUCCUAUCUCAUGUAACUUCCUUUAUUCUUUAUCCUCUGCACAGUGGAAACAGCUGUGUGCAAAAGUCAGGUGGGCAAAGGAAACGGAGCCAGCUCCAUAGAUCCUCAGGGCCAACUCCGGUUAAAUCCUCACUUAUCCCUUCAGCCACAGGGGCACAGCAAAUACAAUAAAAUGAGUUAGAAGGGUGCAAAGUUCAUAGAUAGGUUUAUAUAUGUUUUUAUGACCAAUAAAAACUUCCCCAAUAAUGAGCAAGUUAAUGAUUACAUUAUCUUUAGACUGGGGUGCCUAACUGCCUACUAGACUGAACAGUGAGUUCUAGAAGGAGUUUAUAAUGUACUAAAUGUGUCUAUUACGAAAAUCAGCAAGUAAAAGCUUUUUUAAAUUGAGACAUGGGUGUCAGCAAUCUCUCUUCUCACCCUUCAUGUCAUACUGCCAGUUUACAGGAGGCUUAGUUACAUCAGGUACUUUGACCUCCAACUCUUUUACUGAGGAUUUUAUACCAGAUGGUUAGAUAAUACGCUUUACAUGCCCUGCUUCAUGUAUUCUUCUUCAUUUUAGCAGCUUAUUAUGAGCUUGUAGUUCUUUUAUUCCUAAUACUCUUUUUAUGCAUAUAUUGUCUUGGAUUAUCAAUUUAUGUCAUUCAUUGUCAAUAUUUUCAUUUUCAACAAAAUUAUUUUGAUCCUUCACAGAAAUAUGUACACAGAGAUUUCCUGCUACAUAGCACAAGCUAGGAAAAGCAAAUAAAAAUACUUUAUUUCAAAAAGUAAUAAAGAACAACAUAAUUCA